rnacentral:rRNA from 1 species
UACGUAGGGGGCGAGCGUUGUCCGGAAUCACUGGGCGUAAAGGGCGCGUAGGCGGUUUUUUAAGUCACAUGUGAAAUCCCCAGGCUUAACCUGGGAGUUGCAUGUGAAACUGGAAGGCUUGAGUGUGGUAGAGGAAAGUGGAAUUCCUAGUGUAGCGGUGGAAUGCGUAGAUAUUAGGAGGAACGCCAGUGGCGAAGGCGACUUUCUGGGCCAUAACUGACGCUGAGGCGCGAAAGCGUGGGGAGCAAACAGG